rnacentral:rRNA from 1 species
GUCGAACGAUGAUGCCCAGCUUGCUGGGUGGAUUAGUGGCGAACGGGUGAGUAACACGUGAGUAACCUGCCCUUGACUUCGGGAUAACUCCGGGAAACCGGGGCUAAUACCGGAUAUGAGCCGCCUUCGCAUGGGGGUGGUUGGAAAGUUUUUCGGUCAGGGAUGGGCUCGCGGCCUAUCAGCUUGUUGGUGGGGUGAUGGCCUACCAAGGCGACGACGGGUAGCCGGCCUGAGAGGGCGACCGGCCACACUGGGACUGAGACACGGCCCAGACUCCUACGGGAGGCAGCAGUGGGGAAUAUUGCACAAUGGGCGAAAGCCUGAUGCAGCGACGCCGCGUGAGGGAUGAAGGCCUUCGGGUUGUAAACCUCUUUCAGCAGGGAAGAAGCGCAAGUGACGGUACCUGCAGAAGAAGCGCCGGCUAACUACGUGCCAGCAGCCGCGGUAAUACGUAGGGCGCAAGCGUUGUCCGGAAUUAUUGGGCGUAAAGAGCUCGUAGGCGGUUUGUCGCGUCUGGUGUGAAAACUCGAGGCUCAACUUCGAGCUUGCAUCGGGUACGGGCAGACUAGAGUGCGGUAGGGGAGACUGGAAUUCCUGGUGUAGCGGUGGAAUGCGCAGAUAUCAGGAGGAACACCGAUGGCGAAGGCAGGUCUCUGGGCCGCAACUGACGCUGAGGAGCGAAAGCAUGGGGAGCGAACAGGAUUAGAUACCCUGGUAGUCCAUGCCGUAAACGUUGGGCACUAGGUGUGGGGCUCAUUCCACGAGUUCCGUGCCGCAGCAAACGCAUUAAGUGCCCCGCCUGGGGAGUACGGCCGCAAGGCUAAAACUCAAAGGAAUUGACGGGGGCCCGCACAAGCGGCGGAGCAUGCGGAUUAAUUCGAUGCAACGCGAAGAACCUUACCAAGGCUUGACAUGCACGAGAAGCCACCAGAGAUGGUGGUCUCUUUGGACACUCG